rnacentral:rRNA from 2 species
UACCACUUGUUGCCUCGGCGGAUCAGCCCGCUCCCGGUAAAACGGGACGGCCCGCCAGAGGACCCCUAAACUCUGUUUCUAUAUGUAACUUCUGAGUAAAACCAUAAAUAAAUCAAAACUUUCAACAACGGAUCUCUUGGUUCUGGCAUCGAUGAAGAACGCAGCAAAAUGCGAUAAGUAAUGUGAAUUGCAGAAUUCAGUGAAUCAUCGAAUCUUUGAACGCACAUUGCGCCCGCCAGUAUUCUGGCGGGCAUGCCUGUUCGAGCGUCAUUUCAACCCUCAAGCACAGCUUGGUGUUGGGACUCGCGUUAAUUCGCGUUCCUCAAAUUGAUUGGCGGUCACGUCGAGCUUCCAUAGCGUAGUAGUAAAACCCUCGUUACUGGUAAUCGUCGCGGCCACGCCGUUAAACCCCAACUUCUGAAUGUUGACCUCGGAUCAGGUAGGAAUACCCGCUGAACUUAAGCAUAUCAA